rnacentral:tRNA from 7 species
AUUUAUAUAGUAUAAAAGUAUAUAUGACUUCCAAUCAUAAGGUUUAUUAAUAACAAUAAUAUAAAUA